rnacentral:rRNA from 1 species
UGGCGGCGUGCUUAACACAUGCAAGUCGAACGAUGAACCUGGAGCUUGCUCUGGGGGAUUAGUGGCGAACGGGUGAGUAACACGUGAGCAACCUGCCCCUGACUCUGGGAUAAGCGCUGGAAACGGCGUCUAAUACUGGAUACGAACAAGAAUCGCAUGGUUACUUGUUGGAAAGAUUUUUUGGUUGGGGAUGGGCUCGCGGCCUAUCAGCUUGUUGGUGAGGUAAUGGCUCACCAAGGCGUCGACGGGUAGCCGGCCUGAGAGGGUGACCGGCCACACUGGGACUGAGACACGGCCCAGACUCCUACGGGAGGCAGCAGUGGGGAAUAUUGCACAAUGGGCGGAAGCCUGAUGCAGCAACGCCGCGUGAGGGAUGACGGCCUUCGGGUUGUAAACCUCUUUUAGCAGGGAAGAAGCGAGAGUGACGGUACCUGCAGAAAAAGCGCCGGCUAACUACGUGCCAGCAGCCGCGGUAAUACGUAGGGCGCAAGCGUUAUCCGGAAUUAUUGGGCGUAAAGAGCUCGUAGGCGGUUUGUCGCGUCUGCUGUGAAAUCCCGAGGCUCAACCUCGGGCCUGCAGUGGGUACGGGCAGACUAGAGUGCGGUAGGGGAGAUUGGAAUUCCUGGUGUAGCGGUGGAAUGCGCAGAUAUCAGGAGGAACACCGAUGGCGAAGGCAGAUCUCUGGGCCGUAACUGACGCUGAGGAGCGAAAGGGUGGGGAGCAAACAGGCUUAGAUACCCUGGUAGUCCACCCCGUAAACGUUGGGAACUAGUUGUGGGGUCCAUUCCACGGAUUCCGUGACGCAGCUAACGCAUUAAGUUCCCCGCCUGGGGAGUACGGCCGCAAGGCUAAAACUCAAAGGAAUUGACGGGGACCCGCACAAGCGGCGGAGCAUGCGGAUUAAUUCGAUGCAACGCGAAGAACCUUACCAAGGCUUGACAUAUACGAGAACGGGCCAGAAAUGGUCAACUCUUUGGACACUCGUAAACAGGUGGUGCAUGGUUGUCGUCAGCUCGUGUCGUGAGAUGUUGGGUUAAGUCCCGCAACGAGCGCAACCCUCGUUCUAUGUUGCCAGCACGUAAUGGUGGGAACUCAUGGGAUACUGCCGGGGUCAACUCGGAGGAAGGUGGGGAUGACGUCAAAUCAUCAUGCCCCUUAUGUCUUGGGCUUCACGCAUGCUACAAUGGCCGGUACAAUGGGCAGCGAUACCGUGAGGUGGAGCGAAUCCCAAAAAGCCGGUCCCAGUUCGGAUUGAGGUCUGCAACUCGACCUCAUGAAGUCGGAGUCGCUAGUAAUCGCAGAUCAGCAACGCUGCGGUGAAUACG